AUUGAACGCUGGCGGCAGGCCUAACACAUGCACGUCGAGCGAGCGGCGGACGGGUGAGUAAUGUCUGGGAAACUGCCUGAUGGAGAGGGAUAACUACUGGAAACGGUAGCUAAUACCGCAUACCAUCAGAUGUGCCCAGAUGGGAUUAGCUAGUAGGUGGGGUAAUGGCGCACCUAGGCGACGAUCCCUAGCUGUUCUGAGAGGAUGACCAGCCACACUGGAACUGAGACACGGUCCAGUGUCCUAAGGGAGGCAGCAGUGGGGAAUAUUGCACAAUGGGCGCAAGCAUGAUGCAGCCAUGCCGCGUGUGUGAAGAAGGCCUUCGGGUUGUAAAGCACUUUCAGCGGGGAGGCGUUACCCGCAGAAGAAGCACCGGCUAACUCCGUGCCAGCCGCCGCGGUAAUUC
rnacentral:rRNA from 1 species